AAACCAGCACCUCAAGUGGUCAGGAUGAUUAUUGGGCCUAAAGCAUCCGUAGCCGGCUCUGUAAGUUUUCGGUUAAAUCUGUACGCUUAACGUACAGGCUGCUGGGAAUACUGCAGAGCUAGGGAGUGGGAGAGGUAGACGGUACUCGGGAGGAAGUGGUAAAAUGCUUUGAUCUCUCGAUGACCACCUGUGGCGAAGGCGGUCUACCAGAACACGUUCGACGGUGAGGGAUGAAAGCUGGGGGAGCAAACCGGAUUAGAAACCCCAGUAGUCC
rnacentral:rRNA from 1 species